rnacentral:rRNA from 1 species
GGAUUUCUGUUAAUAAUUUAUAUAAAAUAUUUUGAUGAAUAUUUAUAUAAUAUUAACAUAAUUCAUAUUACUAUAUAUUUUAGUAUAUGAAAUUUUACUUUGAGAAAAUUAGAGUGCUUAAAGCAGGCAUAUGCCUUGAAUACUCCAGCAUGGAAUAAUAUUAAAGAUUUUUAUCUUUCUUAUUGGUUCUAAGAUAAGAAUAAUGAUUAAUAGGGACAGUUGGGGGCAUUUGUAUUUAACAGUCAGAGGUGAAAUUCUUAGAUUUGUUAAAGACAAACUAAUGCGAAAGCAUUUGCCAAGGAUGUUUUCAUUAAUCAAGAACGAAAGUUAGGGGAUCGAAGACGAUCAGAUACCGUCGUAGUCUUAACCAUAAACUAUGCCAACUAAAGAUUGGAGGUUGUUCCUUACUCC